rnacentral:lncRNA from 1 species
AUAGAGAGCUAUUGCUUUGAAAAUAUUUAGAGGCAAAGCUUGCUAGAAAGACGUUAGGCCCUUAUGUCACCCUUUCCCUCUCCGCUAAGCCAGAGCUUUUACCGGUCGCCGUGGGGCCGGAUAGCUCCUAGACUGCUGAGUGAUUACCGGAGAUAGGGCGUCCGUGCGGGAAGCGUCUUUGCAUCUGUCUGGAACCUCUCGGAUGCUUCCACACGCUUUGUCCUUAUCUUGUAAACUUCUUAAGUCUCUGGUCAUAAGAAUUCUGCCAGCAGUAACCAGGGAGCUUCCUUCCUUGUCCACGGAACAUCAGGAUGUUUAAUGACCCGGAAUGAGGCGCUGCCUUUUCUCUCCAGUGUACCUUUGUAAUCCGGGAGCAACCAUGGCAAGAUGUAUUAGGAUCUGAGAAGCAGCAUCGAGAAGAGAUAAGAAAGAAGUCCCCCACAGGAAAGGCACACCGUGCGCAGUAAGCAGUUUCCCUUACUGAUGUC